rnacentral:tRNA from 1 species
GGCGGUAGGGCCAAGUGGUAAGGCAGAGUAUUGCAAAUUCUUUAUCCCCAGUUCAAAUCUGGGUACCGCCUC